GGAAAAAAUAAUUAGAUGUAAGGUGAAAUUUUUAAUUUUUAAAUAAAUUCUUUUUUAAUUUACUGGGGGCUAAAAAGUUUAGAUAAAAGACCAGGAUUAGAUACCCUGUUAUUCUAAAUAAUGAAAUAAGUAGGGUAGUAAAAGUUGUUCUUCAAACCCAAAGAUUUUGGCGGCACCCCAUCCUAAUAGAGGAGCUUGCCCUAUAAUUGAUAAUCCCCAUUUUAUCUUACCUUCUUUGGUAAAGCUUGUAUACCGCCGUUGUCAGAUUACUUUAGAAGAAUGUUUUCAAGAAAGAUAUUUUUUUUACUUCAGGUCAAGGUGCAGUUUAUAGGAAGGUAGCGGUGAGCUACAAUUUUUAAUAAAAAUACGGAUCCUAACUUUAAAAAUUGGGGGAAGGUGGAUUUAUGAGUAAAUUUAUUUAAGUAUAAUAGAUUGAAUCUGGCAAUGGGGUGUGCACAUAUCGCCCGUCACUCUCUUCUUAAGAGGAGAUA
rnacentral:rRNA from 1 species